UACGUAGGGUGCGAGCGUUGUCCGGAAUUACUGGGCGUAAAGAGCUCGUAGGUGGUUUGUCGCGUUGUUCGUGAAAACUCACAGCUUAACUGUGGGCGUGCGGGCGAUACGGGCAGACUUGAGUACUGCAGGGGAGACUGGAAUUCCUGGUGUAGCGGUGGAAUGCGCAGAUAUCAGGAGGAACACCGGUGGCGAAGGUGGGUCUCUGGGCAGUAACUGACGCUGAGGAGCGAAAGCGUGGGGAGCGAACAGG
rnacentral:rRNA from 1 species